AAGGUAAAGCAUGUCACUGUGAUUCCAAUUUUAAUUGAUGUUGAUUUGGUUUACAUUCAUGUAUUCUUUGUGGAUUAUUUAGAUUUUGUUUUAUGUGGAGAGAGAGACGGGAACAGAGAGGGAAAGAGGGUGUGGGUUAUAGCUAGGGAGAGAACUGAGAGAUGGAGAGAAGAAAGAAUAGAUAAAUUGAGAGAUGGACAAAGGAAGAAAGAGUUACAGAGAUAGAGAGAGGGGAAGAUAGAAAAAGAGUUAAUUGGGUCUGAAUUUGUUGUUGAAAACAAAUCUCUUAAUUUAAGAUUUGUUGAAAAAGUAAUAGGCUUAAGGCUGCUGAGAUAGCAUUCUAGGUUUCACUACAUUCUUACAUUCUAGGUAGCCACAUAUAUGAUUAUCUAAGUUUUAAUUUAUUCAUGAGUGGAUGACAAGUACCAAUACAUGUGUGAAAAAAAACACAAGAUCCAUGACUGGAUUUGUCUUGACCCGCUUGUAGGAUUCUGGCAAAUAACACCCUCUAAUGAGUUCUGAACAUAUGGACCUCUCAAGCAGGACUUAACCUCUCAUGCCGGCCCCGUGAAUCUUGUUGUAUGUAACUAGUUACUCAAAUUGCUUCCACAUAUCUAUCAAUGAUCGCUUCCAACUUAAACUCUAAUGAUUUUUUAUUAUUUUUCGUAUAUUUGAUUAACAAUAAGUCCAGAAAUGGAUAUUAUGAUUACAUGUAGAAAUAGCAGAAUCCUUACUUUUUGCUCAGGUGGGCACCUGAGGUAAAGCCUAUUAAUUUGAAAUAAUUUAAUAGCUAAAACUUGUUCUAGUUUUCAUGUGGAUUUUCAUGUGGACAUGCGUAUGUGUUUUCUCAGGAUUUACUUGUACUUGCCUAGAUUCUGAAUUAGCGGGAUGAAAAAAAUUAUUGCAUCUGCUUGCUUUGGAAAGAGUCUAGUUUAUCAAGUACAGUUGUGUUGGCGAGUACUCGAGAGAGCAAUGAUUUGUACAAGGAAAAGAUGUAGAAUGGUGUUAUAAAGCUCCGUGAUCAGCAGGUUUGUAAGUUGUAGAUGUAACCGAUUGAUUUGUGAUGGAAAUUGCUCUUUAAAAUGGCUUUAAACAAUUGUCUGCUUGUUUACCAUUCUUAAACAAUUGUCAUUAACUCUUAGGCUGAAGGGAUCCAUGACUGGAUUUGUCUUGACCCGCUUGUAGGAUUCUGGCAAAUAACACCCUCUAAUGAGUUCUGAACAUAUGGACCUCUCAAGCAGGACUUAACCUCUCAUGCCGGCCCCGUGAAUCUUGUUGUAUGUAACUAGUUACUCAAAUUGCUUCCACAUAUCUAUCAAUGAUCGCUUCCAACUUAAACUCUAAUGAUUUUUUAUUAUUUUUCGUAUAUUUGAUUAACAAUAAGUCCAGAA
rnacentral:lncRNA from 1 species